rnacentral:lncRNA from 10 species
CAGGAAGCAGCCUCUGAGCCAAACUUUGAAGAAUGUUUAUUAACGAGUGUCCAUGGGAUCCACAGCUGGCCCGAACUGUAGACCUUAGCCAUGGACUCAGGACAAUUCCUGUGGUAGGAAUCUUGUGGCUUGACACCAGAAGAAACGAUUUUGCAGAUGCUUUAAGAGGACAUGCCCAAUAUGACUCCGUUUUGGGUGUAGUUACUGCACAGAACUCCAGAUGUCAAAACAGAUUUGUGUUGUGUUUCUAUGCUAAUACAUCUCUG